rnacentral:tRNA from 1 species
AUUUAUAUAGUUUAAUAAAAACAUUACACUUUCAUUGUAAAGUUAGAAAAUUCUUAUAAAUA